UCUCUUCAGCUUACAAUUUCUCCGCUCUCUCUAGAAUUUUAAAAAAAAAAACCCUCAUAAAACCCUCAAUAGUUUCAAUUUUUAUUGUUGUUCAGAAUCCAAAAGAGGUUUUCGAUAGCUAGAAACAAUCAAUGUUGUUUUCUUGUAAACCCCUAAAAAUCUCCAAAUUAAAAAUUAGAGUUACUGUUUAUAGAACUCUAAUUUCAAUUCUUUUCCCAAAUGCUGAUGUGGGUUCUGAUGGUCCAGUAACAAGAACAGAA
rnacentral:lncRNA from 1 species